UACAGAGGGGGCAAGCGUUAUUCGGAAUUAUUGGGCGUAAAGGGCGCGUAGGCGGCGAUUCAAGUGGCGGGUGAAAUCCCGGAGCUCAACUCCGGAACUGCCUUUGAGACUGCAUCGCUUGAAUCCGGGAGAGGUGAGUGGAAUUCCGAGUGUAGAGGUGAAAUUCGUAGAUAUUCGGAAGAACACCAGUGGCGAAGGCGGCUCACUGGACCGGUAUUGACGCUGAUGUGCGAAAGCGUGGGGAGCAAACAGG
rnacentral:rRNA from 1 species